rnacentral:rRNA from 1 species
AUACGUAGGGGGCGAGCGUUGUCCGGAAUGAUUGGGCGUAAAGGGCGCGUAGGCGGCGCGGUAAGUCUGGAGUGAAAGUCCUGCUUUCAAGGUGGGAAUUGCUGGUGAUACUGCAUGGCUGGAAUGCGGUCGAGGCGGGCGGAACGUGGCGUGGUGCGGUGAAAUGCGUAGAUAUGCCACAGAACGCCGAUAGCGGAGGCAGCUCGCCAGGCCUGCAUUGACGCUCGGGCACGAAAGCGUGGGGAUCGAACAGGAUUAGAUACCCUGGUAGUCCGCACAGUAAACGAUGAUAACUAGUUGUUGGCGAUAAACAGAUCAGUAACUGAGCGAAAGCGUUAAGUUAUCCACCUGGGGAGUACGACCGCAAGGUUGAAACUCAAAUGAAUUGGCGGGG